rnacentral:rRNA from 1 species
GAUGAACGCUAGCGGCAGGCUUAAUACAUGCAAGUCGAGGGGCAGCAUGACUGUAGCAAUACAGUUGAUGGCGACCGGCAAACGGGUGCGGAACACGUACAGAACCUUCCUUCGAGCGGGGAAUAGCCCAGAGAAAUUUGGAUUAAUACCCCAUAGUACAACGGAGUGGCAUCACUUUGUUGUUAAAGAUUUACUACUUGAAGAUGGCUGUGCGGCUGAUUAGGUAGUUGGCGGGGUAACGGCCCACCAAGCCUGCGAUCAGUAACUGGUGGGAGAGCACGACCAGUCACACGGGCACUGAGACACGGGCCCGACUCCUACGGGAGGCAGCAGUAAGGAAUAUUGGUCAAUGGACGAAAGUCUGAACCAGCCAUGCCGCGUGGAGGAUGAAGGUCCUCUGGAUUGUAAACUUCUUUUAUAUGGGACGAAAAAAGGGUUUUCUAACUCGUCUGACGGUACCAUAUGAAUAAGCACCGGCUAACUCCGUGCCAGCAGCCGCGGUAACAC